AAUGCAUGUUUACACAUUAUUGCAGCAGUAAUAUUAAUCCAGAAACACCAGAUGAUAGUAAAACACUGACAGGGAACAUUUUACUGCACAAUGACUACUUUUCAUUUUCAUACUUUACAUUUUG